rnacentral:rRNA from 1 species
GAACCUGCGGAAGGAUCAUG